GACGAACGCUGGCGGCGUGCCUAAUACAUGCAAGUAGAACGCUGAAGCUUGGUGCUUGCACCGAGCGGAUGAGUUGCGAACGGGUGAGUAACGCGUAGGUAACCUGCCUGGUAGCGGGGGAUAACUAUUGGAAACGAUAGCUAAUACCGCAUAAGAGUAGAUGUUGCAUGACAUUUGCUUAAAAGGUGCAAUUGCAUCACUACCAGAUGGACCUGCGUUGUAUUAGCUAGUUGGUGAGGUAACGGCUCACCAAGGCAACGAUACAUAGCCGACCUGAGAGGGUGAUCGGCCACACUGGGACUGAGACACGGCCCAGACUCCUACGGGAGGCAGCAGUAGGGAAUCUUCGGCAAUGGACGGAAGUCUGACCGAGCAACGCCGCGUGAGUGAAGAAGGUUUUCGGAUCGUAAAGCUCUGUUGUAAGAGAAGAACGAGUGUGAGAGUGGAA
rnacentral:rRNA from 1 species